rnacentral:rRNA from 1 species
GACGAACGCUGGCGGCGUGCUUAACACAUGCAAGUCGAUCGGAAAGGCCCUGCUUUUGUGGGGUGCUCGAGUGGCGAACGGGUGAGUAACACGUGAGUAACCUGCCCUUGACUUUGGGAUAACUUCAGGAAACUGGGGCUAAUACCGGAUAGGAGCUCCUGCUGCAUGGUGGGGGUUGGAAAGUUUCGGCGGUUGGGGAUGGACUCGCGGCUUAUCAGCUUGUUGGUGGGGUAGUGGCUUACCAAGGCUUUGACGGGUAGCCGGCCUGAGAGGGUGACCGGCCACAUUGGGACUGAGAUACGGCCCAGACUCCUACGGGAGGCAGCAGUGGGGAAUAUUGCACAAUGGGCGGAAGCCUGAUGCAGCAACGCCGCGUGCGGGAUGACGGCCUUCGGGUUGUAAACCGCUUUCGCCUGUGACGAGGCGUGAGUGACGGUAAUGGGUAAAGAAGCACCGGCUAACUACGUG